UGAAGCAUAAAAUGCCUUGGUCCCGUGC
rnacentral:piRNA from 1 species